rnacentral:rRNA from 1 species
UUGGACCUACGGGACGCAGCAGUGAGGAAUAUUGGUCAAUGGGCGAGAGCCUGAACCAGCCAAGUCGCGUGAGGGAUGACUGCCCUAUGGGUUGUAAACCUCUUUUGUAUGGGGGGAAUAAGCUUUACGAGUAGAGUGAUGACAGUACCAUACGAAUAAGCAUCGGCUAACUCCGUGCCAGCAGCCGCGGUAAUACGGAGGAUGCGAGCGUUAUCCGGAUUUAUUGGGUUUAAAGGGUGCGUAGGCGGAAUGCCAAGUCAGCGGUAAAAUCGCGGGGCUCAACCUCGCUCCGCCGUUGAAACUGG